rnacentral:rRNA from 1 species
GCAUAUCAAUAAGCGGAGGAAAAGAAACCAACAGGGAUUGCCUUAGUAGCGGCGAGUGAAGCGGCAAAAGCUCAAAUUUGAAAUCUGGCACUUUCAGUGUCCGAGUUGUAAUUUGAAGAAGGUAUCUUUGGGUCUGGCUCUUGUCUAUGUUUCUUGGAACAGAACGUCACAGAGGGUGAGAAUCCCGUGCGAUGAGAUGUCCCAGACCUAUGUAAAGUUCCUUCGAAGAGUCGAGUUGUUUGGGAAUGCAGCUCUAAGUGGGUGGUAAAUUCCAUCUAAAGCUAAAUAUUGGCGAGAGACCGAUAGCGAACAAGUACAGUGAUGGAAAGAUGAAAAGAACUUUGAAAAGAGAGUGAAAAAGUACGUGAAAUUGUUGAAAGGGAAGGGCUUGAGAUCAGACUUGGUAUUUUGUAUGUUACUCUCUCGGGGGUGGCCUCUACAGUUUACCGGGCCAGCAUCAGUUUGAGCGGUAGGAUAAGUGCAAAGAAAUGUGGCACUGCUUCGGUAGUGUGUUAUAGUCUUUGUCGAUACUGCCAGCUUAGACUGAGGACUGCGGCUUCGGCCUAGGAUGUUGGCAUAAUGAUCUUAAGUCGCCCGUCUUGAAACACGGAC